AGCUGUAAUGGCUCAAUGGUGGAAUUGUACACCUUGGGAUUUCUGACUUUGGUUCAAUCCUCGCAGUCGGACGUAGGUUAGCAUGUCACGUUUCGGCGUGGCAAGGGGUACUCACCUUCCCGUGGGGUCCGCACUGCGCGUCGGCGACAACCGUCAUCCUUCUCUCGCUUCCAGUUGCCGAGGCCGUCAAUCUUGGCGGUCUCAGAGAGAGGGACUCGGGGUUAACGUGUCCCGGUUAUUAUC
rnacentral:sRNA from 1 species